CACGUAGGGGCCAAGCGUUGUCCGGAUUUAUUGGGCGUAAAGAGCUCGUAGGCGGUUCGGUAAGUCGGGUGUGAAAACUCUGGGCUCAACCCAGAGACGCCACCCGAUACUGCUGUGACUAGAGUCCGGUAGGGGAGUGGGGAAUUCCUGGUGUAGCGGUGAAAUGCACAGAUAUCAGGAGGAACACCGGUGGCGAAGGCGCCACUCUGGGCCGGUACUGACGCUGAGGAGCGAAAGCGUGGGGAGCAAACAGG
rnacentral:rRNA from 1 species